rnacentral:rRNA from 1 species
GAUGAACGCUAGCGGCAGGCUUAACACAUGCACGUCGAGGGGUAUAGUUCUUCGGAGCUAGAGACCGGCGCACGGGUGCGUAACGCGUAUGCAAUCCACCUUUUGCAGAGGGAUAGACCAGAGAAAUUUGGAUUAAUACCUCAUAGUAUGUGAGAAUGGCAUCAUUUUCACAUUAAAGUCACAACGGCAAAAGAUGAGCAUGCGUCCCAUUAGCUUGUUGGUAAGGUAACGGCUUACCAAGGCAACGAUGGGUAGGGGUCCUGAGAGGGAGAUCCCCCACACUGGUACUGAGACACGGACCAGACUCCUACGGGAGGCAGCAGUGAGGAAUAUUGGACGAUGGGCGCAAGCCUGAUCCAGCCAUGCCGCGUGCAGGAUGACGGUCCUAUGGAUUGUAAACUGCUUUUGUAUAGGAAGAAACACUGGUUCGUGAACCAGCUUGACGGUACUGUAAGAAUAAGGACCGGCUAACUCCGUGCCAGCAGCCGCCGUAAAAC